ensembl:lncRNA
AGAGCUCAGAGCUCUCUGUCCAUUCUUCAUAUUUAAAACAGUGAUUACUAUUCAUGACUGAAUGAGGUCAUGGAUCAGCCUGCUAUAAGAGGUUAGUCUGGGAGGAGUAUGAACUGGGAGGGGAACUGGUCCAACUGGUUGGUUCACCAUUUCCUUGUUAUGAGUCGGAUAGUUUGGUGUUGCUCACUUUGACACUGUAGGAAGAAGACUAAGAUACUGUAGUCCACUCUUAUCUGUGAUAUAUCCUAAAUAUGAAUAACUUUGAAUCUUAUCAGUAGGUUGAUCAUUUUUAAGAUUCCUGCUCUGUAGAAUGAUAUCUGUAAGACUGUGGGCAUUAGGGAUCGAACCCUGAACCUUCCAACCUGGAGUCAAGUGUCAGGUUGACAUUAAUAAUGACUUUUUCUUCUUAUGUCCUUGGGUGACAUUAAAGGUACUUCGGACAGAAUGUACAGCUGUUAUAUUUGUAGUGCAGUAUUAUGAUAACAUUAUUUAGACAGGAAGACGAAUAUCUUGCUUUGUGAAGGUGUUUAAACGUCUUCUCUUACCGGGUCUUGUUCUAUGUGGGCCUGCCUCACAGAUCUGGUUGUGAUGUCAUACCACAUGAGGAAGUCCAUAUAUGGUCCUGCUUUCAGAGCGGUUUAACCAGCACAGGUAGCAGUUGGCAUGAUAUCCGCACGGUGAACUUGAACUUGACCUCACUUUGUAGCCUUUUGAGACUUUCUGUGUUGAAUGAUUAUACGUUAUUAAAGAGUAUAUUAGCAACGUCUUGGAAUGAGAAAGUCUAUGAAUCUGCGUCUAGGAGAGACCCUGCCUCUUGUCCAAAGUUAACAGAGAAAACAGCCCCCUGUGAGUGGAAUACACAGCUCAUAUAAAAGCAGAGAGUAAACCAACGCCGAGUGGCAGUAGAAACAAUAUGGAGUUGUGUUUGUGUCCAGGCCUCCAGUCUACUAUGGAUGAGGAGAGAGAGGAGGGGGGUCCUACCUCUAAGACCACUCUGUCUGGGGAACAUGGCCGCCGGAGCAAAGCUAAGAGCCCAGAGCGGCAGCAGAGAGCAGACUCCCCUGGACCCAGCUGUGUCUCCAUGAAGAGUGACCGGUCUAUGGAUCAUCCUUAUAGCUUUAAAGAUGGACGGCCCUCCAGAGAGGAGAGCCCAGAGCAGCAGCAGAGAGCAGACUCCCCCGGACCCAGCUGUGUCUCCAUGAAGAGUGACUGGUCUAUGGAUCAUCCUCAUAACUUUAAAGAUGGACGCCCCUCCAGAGAGGAGAGAAGGAGGCAGCAGAGAGCAGACUCCCCUAGACCCAGCUGUGUCUCCUUGAAGAGUGACCGCUCUAUGGGACGUCUUCUUAACUUUAAAGAUGGAAAUCACUCUAUUGAGAAAAGAAGAGUCCAGAAGGAGAGAGCAGACUCCCCUGGACCCAGCUGUGUCUCCUUGAAGAGUGACCGCUCUAUGGAUAUACCAUUGAUGUUUAAAGAUGGACGCCCCUCCAGAGAGGAGAGAAAUUAAAAUUAACGAUGUCCCGUCGUCCCGGGGAUGUAAUUAAUUGUCAUCGGGAGGAUUUUUAUUCUUUCUCGAGAAUUUUGUGGGCACUGACUUAAUUUUUCUGUUUAAGUUAUUAACACUUUCUAAGAACCAGAACGUGUUUGCGGUCGGUGGAAAAUACUUAUUUAAUGGAAAAAGGACUGCGCUUUGUACAAUUGGCUGGCGCGCUUGCGCUCGCGUUUGUGUUGUUCAGUGAGACAGUGGGGGUAAAAUCCCCCGUUCUUCAUGCCGCGGGCUUCCUUGGUUCACUGGUGAAGGCGGG